GAUGAGGAACGCAGCGAAAUGCGAUAAGUAAUGUGAAUUGCAGAAUUCAGUGAAUCAUCGAAUCUUUGAACGCACAUUGCGCCCCUUGGUAUUCCGAGGGGCAUGCCUGUUCGAGCGUCAUUAUAACCCCUCAAGCUCAGCUUGGUGUUGGGGCCUGCUGCACUGGCAGCCCUUAAAAUCAGUGGCGGCGCCAUCUGGCUCUAAGCGUAGUAAUUCUUCUCGCUAUGGAGUCCUGGUGGAUGCUUGCCAUCAACCCCCAAUUUUUCUAUGGUUGACCUCGGAUCAGGUAGGGAUACCCGCUGAACUUAAGCAUAUCAAUAAGCGGAGGA
rnacentral:misc_RNA from 1 species